GUAGGGGACUGUACCGAUCGCAAAAUGAUUUUAUGUCUCAGUGCCUCAUUGUCUUCAUCUUUAUGUAGUUAGGAUAUUAUUAUUUAUUUGUAUAAAGGAACACCAAGGCCGUUAGACCAAUUACGCAGUUUACCCUGCGUCAUGGCUUGGCUCCAGUGCCAGUGGCCUUCCUUUCCCGAAUAGGCUAUACUCCGGACUUUUACGCGAAUCAACACAUUGCCACUUUGUAAAGUUAUGUGAUUAUUUCCAACACGCUUGCCUUUAUCUGUCGCAUUGUAGGUGUUCUUGUGGGAGGUGUGCGCCGAUGCAAACAGUAAAGGACUCUGUGUGCUGUGAGCAGCCCAAAGUGUGCGCCAGUAGAGAAGAGGAGCGGGAACACACAUCCGCUGCGUAACAGAAAAUUCUGGCUUUCAGCCCGUUUGUCUGAACGAACACGUUCUCCACACCGCAUAUUUCCACUACCGGCAAGACUACGGGGACGUAGAGGGAAACGAAUGGAAGAGAUAUACUGCAUAUAGACAAUUUGUUAGAUUUGGCUAUGACUACCUGGGAAUACACGCCAAGGUCCCCUUACCUUCCUUUGUGGUGUGGUCCAUCCGGAGAACUUUUCCUUCUACAGAUCACAGGGGGUUCCAGGACAACAGCCCGUGAUGUUGCUCAUGCACAAGUGUUGGUAAAUAAAUGACAAUGAAUGUCAAUACAUGUUACCUGUAGCUUCA